rnacentral:rRNA from 1 species
AUUCCAGCUCCAAUAGCGUAUAUUAACGUUGUUGCAGUUAAAAAGCUCGUAGUUGGAUUUCUGGUCGGAACGCCGGUCCGGCUCCGCAAGGGGUCGUGUAUUGGUUUCUCCUGCCAUCCUCAGGGGGAGCUGCGCUGGUAUUCAUUUAUCGGCGUGGUUACGCCUGUCGUUUACUGUGAACAAAUUAGAGUGUUCAAAGCAAGGUGUACUUGAAUACAUUAGCAUGGAAUAAUAAGAUAGGACUUUGGUGGUUCUUUUUGAUAUUUUGUUGGUUUGCACGCCAAAGUAAUGAUUAAUAGGAGCAGUUGGGGGUAUUCGUAUUCAAUUGUCAGAGGUGAAAUUCUUGGAUUUAUAGAAGACGAACUACUGCGAAAGCAUUUACCAAGGAUGUUUUCAUUA